rnacentral:rRNA from 1 species
GCUAACCUCAGCCAGGACGCGGGAUACGAAGGUGCUAGGUGGUUUGAAUUCUGGGGGAAACCGCGGUAGUGGCUUAUAACUCGUUGCGACGCCCUGGGCUCAACCUGGGAACUGCAGUGGAUACUGGGCGACUAAAAUGUGGUACAGGGUAGCGGACUUCCUGGUGUAGCAGUGAAAUGCGUAGAGAUCAGGAGGAACAUCCAUGGCGAAGGCAGCUACCUGGACCAACAUUGACACUGAGGCACCAAAGCGUGGGGAGCAAACAGGAUUAGAUACCCUGGUAGUCCACGCCCUAAACGAUGCAAACUGGAUGUUGGGUGCAAUUUAGCACGCACUAUCGAAGCUAACGUUUAGUUCCCCGUUGGGGACUACGGUAAAGACUGAAACUCAAGGAAUUCCCCCGGGCCCCACAAAGUUGGAGUAUGUGGUCCAUUCCUGCCCGCGAAAAUCUUACCUGGCCUUGACAUGUCGAGAACUUUCCGAGAUGUAUUGUGCCUUCGGAAACUCAAACACAGGUAC